rnacentral:rRNA from 1 species
AGUAGUUUGACUCCUGGCUCAGAACGAACGCUGGCGGCAGGCUUAACACAUGCAAGUCGAGCGCCCCGCAAGGGGAGCGGCAGACGGGUGAGUAACGCGUGGGAACGUACCCUUUACUACGGAACAACUCCGGGGAAACUGGAGCUAAUACCGUAUGUGCCCUUUGGGGGAAAGAUUUAUCGGUAAAGGAUCGGCCCGCGUUGGAUUAGCUAGUUGGUGGGGUAAAGGCCUACCAAGGCGACGAUCCAUAGCUGGUCUGAGAGGAUGAUCAGCCACAUUGGGACUGAGACACGGCCCAAACUCCUACGGGAGGCAGCAGUGGGGAAUAUUGGACAAUGGGCGCAAGCCUGAUCCAGCCAUGCCGCGUGAAUGAUGAAGGCCUUAGGGUUGUAAAGUUCUUUCACCGGAGAAGAUAAUGACGGUAUCCGGAGAAGAAGCCCCGGCUAACUUCGUG